UGGCAUUGUUCAAUCUGCUGGAGAGGAAGCUCAGGAGAGACGUUAUAGCUCUCUCUACCUACGUGAAGGGAAGUUGUAGCCAGCUGGUCUCGGCCUCUUCUCCCAUGUAACUAGUGACACGACUGGAGGAAAUGGCCUCGAGUUGAACCAGGGGAGUUUCAGGUUGGACAUCAGGAAAUAGUACUUCUCUGAAAGAGUGGGCAGGCACUGGAAUGGGCUGCCCAGGGAGGUGGUGGAGUCACCGACCCAGGAGGCAUUCAGGGAACGUUCAGAUGUUGUGUUGAGGGACGUGGUUUAGUGAGAAAUAUUGGUGAUGAUCUUGCAGGUCUUUUCCAACCUCAGUGAUUCUAUGAUAGCAGGAGAAAUAGUUAUUGCAUAUCCUUUUUUUUCUAUUCUACCUCACUUUGUAUUUGGGCUGCUGCUUGGGAUCUGCUCAGGAUCACAGAUUAUCUUAGAUAUUUUUGAUCUAUAAAGAUGAAAAUAAGAAUGAAGAUGGGGUGGAUUUUAAUAUUAGCUUUUGGGUGAAUACCAAUUAAGGUCAACUAACCCUAAUUAAGGUCAUUAAUGAAGAUAGACAAUGUUGGUCCUGAUGUUGUCCCCUGGCACACUUGUUGUGGUUUCAAGAUUUCUGCUAUUGGUGUUCCACAUCAUAGCAUCAGGUAAUGCACGGGGAGUUAAAGAGUUAAGGCUUCAGUUCCAUGGACUGUUGAUAGUUCCAGGUACAUUUCACAGAAGAGAAAGAAUGAACUGUAUCUCCCAGAAUACUUCACUGUUCCAUUUCCAUUUUCUGUUUAAAGGGAAAGAGAAAACUGGGAGUCAUGAGACUUCUUUUUCUGCUUGGCUCUGCAGUGUAUGCUCCAUAGCUGUCUCACCUUCAACAUUAGAAUAUAAUUCUUAGGUGAGAAGAUGAAAAAUUCAUUGUACUCUGCGGAGAAGAAAGACAAUUUUCUUUGUAUGAAUGGCAGAACAGCCCCAUGGCAAGACUUGUCGGAUGAGCUGCAUUUAAGCUACAGCCAACAGUACCUCCUUGCAGGUCCACGCACUGGAGAUAACAGAGGUCCUUGCUGUGAAGAAAGGGGAAUAGAGAUGCAAGGGAAUGAUGCAGCUGAAAAGAAGUACAAUGGCAAACUUUUUUCACAGAACAAUGAUUAAUCAGUUUGCUCUCUUCAAUUUAUGAAUCAUCUGGAAGUGGGCUUUGCCACAGUGUAUGCUCGAUCU